rnacentral:ncRNA from 1 species
UUAAGGAACGGGGAUGGAGUUCCCCUUGAACCGCGUUUGCUGAUAACUCCUGCCACUGC